UAGAAAAGUGUGACAAUGAAGAUGAGAAGGAGAGAUCAAAUGAGUUUGGUUUGAAAGAUGAACAUAAUUCCAUAGUUAUGUAUAAUGAAAAGGGUGUCUGAGAAACUUGCUGAAAUUGAUAAAAUUGAUGAAAAUUAAGAUUUUUCCAGAAUUUGAAGGAGGUUUUUGCAGGGUUUUUGGUAGAGAAGAUAGAAACAGGAAACAGAGAAG
rnacentral:misc_RNA from 1 species